UACGUAGGGGGCUAGCGUUGUCCGGAAUCAUUGGGCGUAAAGCGCGUGUAGGCGGUCCAGUAAGUCCGCUGUGAAAGUCGGGGGGCUCAACCCUCGGAUGCCGGUGGAUACUGUCGGGCUUGAGUACGGAAGAGGCGAGUGGAAUUCCUGGUGUAGCGGUGAAAUGCGCAGAUAUCAGGAGGAACACCGGCGGCGAAGGCGGCACUCUGGGCCGGUACUGACGCUGAGGAGCGAAAGCGUGGGUAGCAAACAGG
rnacentral:rRNA from 1 species